GGAGGUAUAGCUCAGUAGUUGAGUGCAUGCUUCACACGUAUGAGGUCCUGGGUUCAAUCCCUGGUACCUCCU
rnacentral:tRNA from 1 species